rnacentral:SRP_RNA from 1 species
GCCACGCACAGUGGCGCGUGCCUGUGGUGCCAGCUACUCAGGAGGCUGAGGCUGGAGGAUCAUUUGAGUCCAGGAGCUCUAGGCUGUAGUGCACUAUGUCAAUCGGGUGUCCGCACUAAGUUUGAUAUCACUAUGGUGACCUCCCGGGAGCAGGGGACCACCAGUUUGCCUAAGGAGGGGUGAACCAGCCCAGGUUGGAAACUGAGCAGAUCAAAACUCCUGUGCUGAUCAGUAGUGGGAUGGUGCCUGUGAAUAGCCGCUGCACUCCAGCCUAGGCAACAUAUCGAGAUGCCAUCUGU